UCAUGUAAACAAAUAUAGAGCCAUGAGAGGGAACCGGAGUGAACUCGCCCCGGGGCGAAAGUCGCCCCGGUGUCAUGUAAACACCCCCUAAUAGUCCCACUUGAAAGU